AUUGAACGCUGGCGGCAGGCCUAACACAUGCAAGUCGAGCGGAUGAAGGGAGCUUGCUCCUGGAUUCAGCGGCGGACGGGUGAGUAAUGCCUAGGAAUCUGCCUGGUAGUGGGGGAUAACGUCCGGAAACGGGCGCUAAUACCGCAUACGUCCUGAGGGAGAAAGUGGGGGAUCUUCGGACCUCACGCUAUCAGAUGAGCCUAGGUCGGAUUAGCUAGUUGGUGGGGUAAAGGCCUACCAAGGCGACGAUCCGUAACUGGUCUGAGAGGAUGAUCAGUCACACUGGAACUGAGACACGGCCCAGACUCCUACGGGAGGCAGCAGUGGGGAAUAUUGGACAAUGGGCGAAAGCCUGAUCCAGCCAUGCCGCGUGUGUGAAGAAGGUCUUCGGACUGUAAAGCACUUUAAGUUGGGAGGAAGGGCAGUAAGUUAAUACCUUGCUGUUUUGACGUUACCAACAGAAUAAGCACCGGCUAACUUCGUG
rnacentral:rRNA from 1 species